CCUACGGGAGGCAGCAGAGGGGAAUAUUGCGCAAUGGGCGAAAGCCGGACGCAGCGACGCCGCGGGAGGGAUGAAGGUCUUCGGAUAGGAAACCUCUGUCAGCAGGGAAGAACGGUCACGGUGCUAAGCAGCAGUGAAUUGACGGUACCUGCAAAGGAAGCACCGGCUAACUCCGGGCCAGCAGCCGCGGUAAUACGGAGGGUGCGAGCGGUAAUCGGAAUUACUGGGCGUAAAGCGCGCGUAGGCGGUAUGUCAAGUCAAGGGUGAAAUCCCCGCGCUCACCGUGGGAACUGCCUUUGAAACUGGCAGACUGGAGUGUGUGAGAGGCUAGUGGAAUUCCGGGUGU
rnacentral:rRNA from 1 species